rnacentral:rRNA from 1 species
GACGAACGCUGGCGGCGUGCUUAACACAUGCAAGUCGAACGGAGUGGCGGACGGGUGAGUAUUACGUGAGUAACCUGCCCUCAACUGUGGGAUAAUCCUGGGAAACUGGGCCUAAUACUGCAUAGUUGGGGAUGGGCUCGGGGCCUAUCAGCUUGUUGGUGGGGGGGUGGCCUACCAAGGCGGUGACGGGUAGCCGGCCUGAGAGGGGGGUCGGCCACAUUGGGACGGCGAUACGGAGCAGGCACCUACGAGAGGGAACAGUGGGUGAUAUGGCACAAGGUGGACAAGCCGGAUGCAGCGAUGCCGCGUGAGGGAUGAAGGCUUUCGGGUUGUAAACCUCUUGCGGUAGUGAACGGGUAUGUGCAGAAGAAGCGCCGGCUAACUACGUGCCAGCAGCCGCGGUAAUUC